CUACGGCAUCUAGCACUUCUCAUCUUCGCGCGAGAGGCAUUAUGUGCCGGCGGCAAGCUUGUGCAUGUGGCAUGUACUUUCGAUGGCUUUCUGAGGGUCUGAUAAGUUAUCCUUCACAAGUAAUGUUGUGUGCUUGCAGCGAUCUUAUGCCUACGAUUUCUAAUACUUCUUAUCUUCGCAUGAGAGGUAUUGUGUGCUGGCGGUGAGCUUGUGCCUAUGGUAUGCACUCUCGACGACCUUCUGAAGGUCUGAUAAGUUAUUCCUCACGAGUGACAUUGUGUGCUUGCAACGAUCUUGUGCCUGUGGUAUCUGGCACUUCUCGUCUUCACGCGAGAGGCAUUAUGUGCCGGCGGUGAGCUUGUGCCUAUGGCAUGCACUUUCAGUGGCCUUCUGAGGAUCAGAUUAGUUAUCCCUCUGGAGGUUCCUUAAGGAUCUCCCUCUACUCUUCGAAUGACUUGGGCUUUGCAGGGGUCUUAUAAGUUAGCUCCGUUUCGGAGUCGUCGAGGUCUUGAGUUGUGGACCUGCACACAAAAGAUGAGAAAACUUGCCAAACCAGCUCUAACGGGGCUUUUUGAUUUUUUUAGUCAGAUCAUACUUUUGGAG
rnacentral:lncRNA from 1 species